CGGGACGGGUGAGUAAUGCGUUGGGAAUCUAGCUAUGGAGGGGGAUAACUACGGGAAACUGUAGCUAAUACCGCGUAAUAUCGAAAGAUUAAAGUGUGGGACCUUCGGGCCACAUGCCAUAAGAUGAGCCCAAGUGGGAUUAGGUAGUUGGUGAGGUAAAGGCUCACCAAGCCGACGAUCUCUAGCUGGUCUGAGAGGAUGACCAGCCACACUGGGACUGAGACACGGCCCAG
rnacentral:rRNA from 1 species